AAAACACAGAACGAAAAAUAAGCGUAGUAACACUACCAGGAACCACCUCUUUCGCCAGCUCAAUCUCCCUUGAGCUGGCUUUUUC
rnacentral:sRNA from 1 species